CAACCGGGGAGGGUCAUUGGAAACUGGGGAACUUGAGUGCAGAAAGAGGAGAGUGGAAUUCCACGUGUAGCGGUGAAAUGCGUAGAGAUGUGGAGGGAACACCAGUGGGCGAAGGCGACUCUCUGGGUCUGUAAACUGACGUUGAGGAGCGAAAGCGUGGGGAGCGAACAGGAUUAGAUACCCUGGUAGUCCACGCCGUAAACGAUGAGUGCUAAGUGUUAGGGGGUUUCCGCCCCUUAGUGCUGCAGCUAACGCAUUAAGCACUCCGCCUGGGGAGUACGGUCGCAAGACUGAAACUCAAAGGAAUUGACGGGGGCCCGCACAAGCGGUGGAGCAUGUGGUUUAAUUCGAAGCAACGCGAAGAACCUUACCAGGUCUUGACAUCCUCUGACAAUCCUAGAGAUAGGACGUCCCCUUCGGGGGCAGAGUGACAGGUGGUGCAUGGUUGUCGUCAGCUCGUGUCGUGAGAUGUUGGGUUAAGUCCCGCAACGAGCGCAACCCUUGAUCUUAGUUGCCAGCAUUCAGUUGGGCACUCUAAGGUGACUGCCGGUGACAAACCGGAGGAAGGUGGGGAUGACGUCAAAUCAUCAUGC
rnacentral:rRNA from 1 species